ACUUAGUGAUCCGAAUACAGCUUAAUUUUUCUUGGUACGGCUAAAUGAGAAUCCCAGUGCAAUGCAGGUUACGUUUCUACAAAGUCAACAACACCCCGAGGAACACCUGGACCAAUACUGGCGUUUUCUUGGAGAAACAGCUAAGGCCCAGCGACCACGGUUUUACUGGGGAUAAUCUCAGGUGGAAAAGCUACAAGCGUGAUGCCCUCCAGCAUGGCUGCGCUCUGGCUGCGCACAAGUCCAUUCAGUAUCAUUGUUACCAGGACUUUCUCUGCUGCCUGCUAUUUUCUGAUAUGGUCGUAUGUAAAUCAUUCAGGCACUAUAUGUUCAAGCGUACCAGUUUUAUAAUUGAGUUUUGAUAUAGAAAGUAUGCAGCGAUGGAACAUGCUGUGAAUUUCUGUGUUGAUCCUACAAUGUGGAAUAUGCAGCAGAUUGGCAGAUUUGGUCUUUUAAAUCUGAAAUUUAAGCUGCUGUAUUAUUUUGCUGAUAUGAGUGACCUUUCUGUUUGUGGACUCAGAAUAGCCCUACUGUAUUUAUUUGUUUUUCCUCACUCCCAGUGCCUGAACACUGCACCUGGGUCUUUUGGCAAGAGGCAGGCAAAUCUGUUCAGCUUUCCUAACAUUAUUUUGCCUUCAAAUUGAUGAAGCAUGUCCAACCCCAAGCUACAAUCCUGUUUACUGUCGAGCUGUGUGUCUGAACUUGCGUCAGGAAUUGUGUUGAUGUAUGCCAGUGCAAAGACAGAGGAGUGGCAGCAGGAUGGAUUCCACCCCCCAGUGAGAAAAUGAGUGGAAUCACAGCAUUUUUCCACCCAGCUGACACCCAAGACAGAUGGAGCUAGCGAACACUGCAGCGCAGCCCCAGCCAAAACCAUGGCAACAGUGAGGCUACAGAAAGCCUGCCAGGCCAAUCACAGAGAAGAAUGCAGUGCCAUCUAAGCAGGUCCCCUAAGUAGACUCAGAGAGCUUGGUGGCCUAAUGGAUGGAGGUUGGUGGCAAAAGAAAGAAAAGUGGAUCCAUCAUAACGCUCAUGGAAAAUUGAAACUAGCUCACCACUGUAUGUGUUGAAUCCUAAAGGGAUAAUGUGAUCGAGACUACGACAACUAGCAAGUGAGAUCACAGGCAAAAUGGAAUGUCAUCAGCGAAGUCUCUCUAGUGCUGUUUAAAAGAAGCUGACUGAAGCCUUGAGGCACGUCUAUGGUUGAUGUGUUUUUAGUGGCUUUACAUGGUGUGUUGCGCAAAGGGGAUGCCGCUCUAGAAUCUGAAUUCAAUUCAUUUUGCUUCUGUUAUUGUUUUUCUGUACUCCUGCCCACAGGGGAAUGUGUUGUUUCACUUUGCUCCUCAGGGCAGAAGAUGAGCUGCACAACAGCAGCUCAUCUAGUGAUGGAGAUUGAGUGUCUUGCUCAAGGACUCUUGAAUAGGCUUGACCUAAGGCCUUGUAGCUGAAUGAAAGUCACGGGAUCCCCACACACAUUAAAGCAGCUUGUUUUUGGAAAGUAGAUUUUACAGUAACGGGUACAUUGUACUGUAAUUUCCGAAAAGAUUUACACUAUCAGUAGAUUUGCAAACAAGAUUGUACAAAAUAAACCUGCAUGCAGUGAGCAGAAAUUUUACCUUCUCUGCUGUGGUGAAAAAGAUGCCCUCUGCAAUAUCACACAUUGUGGGAGGACAAGUUAAAUGUAAUGGAACUGAAAAACUGCAGCAUGUUUGCUAGAGUGGAUGUCAAAUCUCUCUUGAAUAUAUUUUAAAAUGGAAUUUGUGUUAAUGGAAAUAAAAAACAAAAAAAACUUAGAAAACUAGAUUCAAGGUGUACGUGUCUGACAAUGACCUCUGCGUGACCCCAUUCUCAGAUCAAGGCUGUCUGCCACAUUCUCUGGCUCUCCUGCCUCAUCUACAGGAUUGCAGGCAGUGCUUAAUUUACAUGUGCCAAAAAGCAGUCAAACUACCAUCUCUGCACUUCCAGAUGAGCUCGGCAGCACUCUCACACGUCAGAUGAAAGCUCUCAGAUUUGGCAGAGCGUGAAACAGAUAAAACAUGCAUUGACAAAGGUGCAAUAUAAUUGCAUAUAUUACCAUCUCAAAGAGUUUUCACACACUCAGUGCCUUUAACCUCUUCACCAGAUUCCCAUUUUUUAAUUAAGAAGAAUCCAGUUCAACCUUGUGAGCAUAUACCAAAGUUUUUCUUGGUUUUAAAAUAUAUACUUCUACAUCUGAUGAAAUGUCUGUCAUUAUAAGAAGUGAGCUGUUGGCUUCACUCUCACCACUUUUUAAGAACUUAUGAAAUCGAGUUUCUGGAGUGUCUUACACAUUUCAAUUUUCGAGGAAAAGCAGUUAAAUUUUGAGGGUUUGAAUGGCAGUUAUCUAUGCUACACAGCCUGUGCACUGCGCUAAGCUGAAUUACUUUUUCUUUUCAGCCUCUGUGGAGGCUUGGUGAUUAUGUAGGCUUUCAUUUUUUUAAGGAGGAUAAAUUACAUAGAACUUUUGUCACUCAGAUCAGCACAUUUACUCCAAAGACACACACACAGUCAUGUUCAGUGACUACAUGUGCUACUCGGGCACAUGUAGUCACUGAACAUGAACAUUAUGGAACAUCCCUGGCUUCCUAUUUGUUUUCAGCCACUGACAACACAAUAACUUUCUCCAGAAGCGCCAAUGAAGGAUUCAUGCGAUAAUCGUUAAUCUCUGAAAGCAUGUUUUAUGGUUUCUUAAUUUGCAGUGGAGAGAAACAUAUAAACACAUUCUCAGGCAAACAUCUGUCUCUGCCAGGCUUCCACACACACACACACACACACACACAAACACACUCGCAGUUGCUCCCCCACAUGCAUGGCAUCACAGCGGCCAUAUCCUUCACUGAGUCGAGUCUUUGAUGAGCCAGCCGAUGCUUUGAAGCCUGGCUCUGCCAUCAGGAGCUUUUAAAGAAGCCCCACUUCUCUCUCUCUCCCACUUUCACUCCACAAUCAACUAGCUCAUAUCGCCAACUGAACCGCAGAUCCAUGCUAGACCACACAGAUAACCCAAAUCUGAUCUUCCUCAUCUUGCCUCGCCUCCUCUCAUCCCAGUCAAGGAUUCAGACACAAACCUCCCCCAGUCUCUGCCUCCCCAAUCUGUCUUACUGAGGCUGUGACUACUUUAUCUUUUACGCUCUAUCCUCACUCCUAUGGAGGACUAAAAGUGCCAAAAUUAAAUAAAUAAAUACAUCAUUAAAUAAUUAAUUAAAUAUGUCAUUAAUUAAUUAAAAUUGGAAUUAAAUAUUUCAUUAAUUAAUUAAAAUUGGAAUUAAAUAUUUCAUUAAUUAAUUAAAAUUGGAAUGAAAUACUUAAAUGUGUUAUUAAAUAAAUAUAUCAUUAAAUAAUUAAAUAUGUCAUUAAUUAAUUAAAAUUGGCAUUAAAUAUGUCAUUAAUUAAUUAAAAUUGGCAUUAAAUAUGUCAUUAAUUAAUUAAAAUUGGAAUUAAAUACAUAAAUGUGUUAUUAAAUAUGUCAUUAAUUUAUUAAAAUAACAAUUAUUUUAAGUAAAAAACAUAUUUCAUUAUUUCACUAUUUAAUUAAUUAUUUCAUGGUCCUUGCGUUGCAGUGGAUCAUGAAUUUAUUUUAUCUGUCAACCUCGCCCGUCAAAGUCGGUGGGCGGAUCCUAACACCUGAUUGGUUACCCUGCACAUCAAGUCAAGGCAAAUCGAUUCCAGAUAAUGGAUUGACGCAGAGCUUGUGAACACAUUCCGAUACACUGGGUGGCGCUAUUCACCUCUACGUUGGUUUGGAUACUCAAUAAAACAAAACUUUAUUAGCAACCGCUAAAGACUCGGUCCUCUUUCCCAAAUGUUGAUACAUGCGGUGCAAGACAAAUUUUCCUUUAGCAUUUCCUUUAGCAUCUACUCGGCGCGCCACGGCUCGUCUCGGUUUAGUUGUUUUUCCAUUACAUUGAGUACCACCUCAUCGUGGGUUGAGUCGUCAUAGCACGGUGGCCCGAAAGUCCCUUACCGUCAUUUUUGUGCGACACAAACGCAAUGCAACAAUGUACAUGGAGGCGAUAGUACACCUGCUGCUCGGUCUGUGGCUUUCUGUCAGAUUCAGAGUAACAGAAGAGUCGGAGAAAGCUGAGAGCGGCGAGUCGAAACACUCAGGAGACACACAGGAGAGUUUGGGAGGCGAUACAGCAGUAUCAAGCUGAAGACAAGAGGAUAUGAACGAGACGACAUAUAAGGAUGCUCUCUGAUGAGACUUCAUGGGAUUUACCUGAAGCAGCAGCACAUGAGCCUGCAGUGGCACAAGGUGUAGAGGAGGAGGGCAGAGAUGUACAGGAUGCACUGAUGCACUACGUGUCAUGCAAAGUUAUUCUUCUUGUUAUACUUCUGUUUUUCUGUCCCCGGACCGCUAUUGUUUUCUUUAAUGCAAUUCUGACAAUAAACUUUUGUAGAUGUG